rnacentral:rRNA from 1 species
AAACCAACAGGGAUUACCUUAGUAACGGCGAGUGAAGCGGUAAGAGCUCAAAUUUGAAAUCUGGCACUUUCAGUGUCCGAGUUGUAAUUUGAAGAAGGUAACUUUGGGAUUGGCUCUUGUCUAUGUUCCUUGGAACAGGACGUCACAGAGGGUGAGAAUCCCGUGCGAUGAGAUGCCCAAUCCUAUGUAAAGUGCUUUCGAAGAGUCGAGUUGUUUGGGAAUGCAGCUCUAAGUGGGUGGUAAAUUCCAUCUAAAGCUAAAUAUUGGCGAGAGACCGAUAGCGAACAAGUACAGUGAUGGAAAGAUGAAAAGAACUUUGAAAAGAGAGUGAAAAAGUACGUGAAAUUGUUGAAAGGGAAGGGCUUGAGAUCAGACUUGGUGUUUUGUGUACACUUUCCUUCUUGGAUUGUGCUUUCGCAUUACUACCGGGCCAGCAUCGGUUUGGGUGGUAGGAUAAUGACAUUGGAACGUGGCUCUACUUCGGUAGAGUGUUAUAGCCUUUGUUGAUGCUGCCUACCUAGACCGAGGACUGCGUCUUUUGACUAGGAUGCUGGCGUAAUGAUCUUAAGCCGC